UGUGUGUUGUGUGUGUGUGUGUGUGUGUGUGUUGUGUGUGUGUGUGUGUGUGUAUGUAUAUUUAUAUGCACACACACACACACACACACACACACACACACACACACACACCACACACACACACACACAUAUAUAUAUUAUAUAUAUAUAUAUAUAUAUAUAUAUAUAUAUAUAUAU
rnacentral:snoRNA from 1 species